GACCUGCGUUCCCUUGAAAAGCUACUGAAUUCCUCUUCAGUUUUCACCUCUCAACUGGGGAUCGUGAUGCUCCCAGGCUAGGAAGAUGAAAUGAAAUCAGAACAACGCAAUGAUCUGGAGGGCCAUAACAUGGAUGAACCUUGAAAACAUGAUGCUGAGGGAAAGAAGCCACUCACAAAGGACCACGUAGUGUAUGAUUCCAUUCAUAUGAAAUCUGCAGAAAAGGGUUCAAGUCCCGGUGUUCUCGGGCAGGAAGACGCUGUGCUGGCACAGUGGACAUGUUGCUCCGCAGAAGGUCUGCUCCCCUCCAGCCCACUGGCCCCCUCUUGUCGCGCAGCCCAGGGACAGUUCACGGAUUCGAAAGUUCUCCUUGGAACGUGUUUUAAAUUCUCACUGCACAUGCGACAAAGGUGACAACCUUUCUGCUAAACAGAACACAGAGAUACUUCUUCUUGCUGCCAGGUAACAGGUUGGGUGAGGCAUCAAAUCUAUGCCCCAUCAAUGACGUCACAGUGUCU
rnacentral:lncRNA from 1 species